CGUAAACGUUUUGUUGACUUU
rnacentral:snRNA from 1 species